AGCGAACGCUGGCGGCAGGCCUAACACAUGCAAGUCGAACGAACCUUUCGGGGUUAGUGGCGGACGGGUGAGUAACACGUGGGAACGUUCCUUUAGGUUCGGAAUAACUCAGGGAAACUGGUGCUAAUACCGAAUGUGCCCUUCGGGGGAAAGAUUAAUCGCCUUUAGAGCGGCCCGCGUCUGAUUAGCUAGUUGGUUGAGGUAAUGGCUCACCAAGGCGACGAUCAGUAGCUGGUCUGAGAGGAUGAUCAGCCACAUUGGGACUGAGACACGGCCCAAACUCCUACGGGAGGCAGCAGUGGGGAAUCUUGCGCAAUGGGCGAAAGCCUGACGCAGCCAUGCCGCGUGAAUGAUGAAGGUCUUAGGAUUGUAAAAUUCUUUCACCGGGGACGAUAAUGACGGUACCCGGAGAAGAAGCCCCGGCUAACUUCGUG
rnacentral:rRNA from 1 species